GACGAACCGUGCGAACGUUGUUCGGAAUCACUGGGCUUAAAGGGCGCGUAGGCGGCGGAUCAAGUCCGGGGUGAAAGCCCCCAGCUUAACUGGGGAAGUGCCUCGGAUACUGGUUCGCUCGAGGGAGGUAGGGGUCGCGGGAACUUCCGGUGGAGCGGUGAAAUGCGUUGAUAUCGGAAGGAACGCCGGUGGCGAAAGCGCGCGACUGGACCUCUUCUGACGCUGAGGCGCGAAAGCUAGGGGAGCAAACGGG
rnacentral:rRNA from 1 species